GGGUCAGUAGGUUGGUCGUGCCACCGGUACGUACUGGUCUCACUGAUUCCUCCUUCCUGAAGGACCGUAAUGCCAUUAAUUUGGUGUUGCGGGGAAACAGGACUGUUACUUUGAAAAAAUUAGAGUGUCUAAAGCAAGCUAACGCUUGAAUACAUUAGCAUGGACUAAUGAAAUAGGACGAUCGAUCCUAUUUUGUUGGUUUCUAGGAUUGACGUA
rnacentral:rRNA from 1 species